GACGAACGCUGGCGGCGUGCUUAACACAUGCAAGUCGAACGGAAAGGCCCUGCUUUUGUGGGUUGCUCGAUUGGCGAACGGGUGAGUAACACGUGAGUAACCUGCCCUUGUCUUUGGGAUAACUUCAGGAAACUGGGGCUAAUACCGGAUAUGAGCUCCUGCUGCAUGUGGGGGGUUGGAAAGUUUCGGCGGUUGUGGAUGGACUCGCGGCUUAUCAGCUUGUUGGUGGGGUAGUGGCUUACCAAGGCUAUGACGGGUAGCCGGCCUGAGAGGGGGACCGGCGACAUUGGGACUGAGAGACGGACCAGACUCCUACGGGAGGCAGCAGUGGGGAAUAUUGCGCAAUGGGCGGAAGCCUGAUGCAGCAACGCCGCGUGCGGGAUGACGGCCUUCGGGUUGUAAACCGCUGUCGCCUGUGACGAAGCGUGAGUGACGGUAAUGGGUAAAGAAGCACCGGCUAACUACGUG
rnacentral:rRNA from 1 species